rnacentral:rRNA from 1 species
GAUGAACGCUGGCGGCGUGCCUAAUACAUGCAAGUCGAGCGAACGGACGAGAAGCUUGCUUUUCUGAUGUUAGCGGCGGACGGGUGAGUAACACGUGGAUAACCUACCUAUAAGACUGGGAUAACUUCGGGAAACCGGAGCUAAUACCGGAUAAUAUUUUGAACCGCAUGGUUCAAAAGUGAAAGACGGUCUUGCUGUCACUUAUAGAUGGAUCCGCGCUGCAUUAGCUAGUUGGUAAGGUAACGGCUUACCAAGGCAACGAUGCAUAGCCGACCUGAGAGAGUGGUCGGCCACACGGGAACUGAGCCGCGGUCCAGACUCCUACGGGAGGCAGCAGUAGGAAAUCUUCCGCAAUGGGCGAAAGCCUGACGGAGCAACGCCGCGUGAGUGAUGAAAAUCUUCGGAUCGUAAAACUCUGUUAUUAGGGAAGAACAUAUGUGUAAGUAGCUGUACACAUCUUGACGGUACCUAAUCAGAAAGCCACGGCUAACUACGUG